rnacentral:rRNA from 1 species
UACGGGGGGGGGCAAGCGUUGUUCGGAAUUACUGGGCGUAAAGGGCUCGUAGGCGGCCAACUAAGUCGGAUGUGAAAUCCCUCAGCUUAACUGGGGAACUGCGUCCGAUACUGGAUGGCUUGGAUUUGGGAGAGGGAUGCGGAAUUCCAGGUGUAGCGGUGAAAUGCGUAGAUAUCUGGAGGAACACCGGUGGCGAAGGCGGCAUCCUGGACCAAUAUUGACGCUGAGGUGCGAAAGCGUGGGGAGCAAACAGG